rnacentral:rRNA from 1 species
AGUGAACGCUGGCGGCAGGCCUAACACAUGCAAGUCGAGCGGCAGCGGGUCCUUCGGGAUGCCGGCGAGCGGCGGACGGGUGAGGAAUACAUCGGAAUCUGCCCUGUCGUGGGGGAUAACCUAGGGAAACUUAGGCUAAUACCGCAUACGACCUACGGGUGAAAGCGGGGGAUCGCAAGACCUCGCGCGACAGGAUGAGCCGAUGUCCGAUUAGCUAGUUGGCGGGGUAAAGGCCCACCAAGGCGACGAUCGGUAGCUGGUCUGAGAGGAUGAUCAGCCACACUGGAACUGAGCCACGGCCCAGACUCCUACGGGAGGCAGCAGUGGGGAAUAUUGGACAAUGGGCGCAAGCCUGAUCCAGCCAUGCCGCGUGGGUGGAGAAGGCCUUCGGGUUGUAAAGCCCUUUUGUCCGGGAAGAAAUCGUCUGGGCUAAUACCCCGGGCGGAUGACGGUACCGGAAGAAUAAGCACCGGCUAACUUCGUG